AAAGGGGUGGAGUUAUGAGAGGUCUAUGGCGCAGUUUCCGGCAACACAACACAAGACGAGCAGGGCAAGUUAUAUGGACGACAAUACUUCGGUGGCGGCCCGUGGCCUGGCAAUGUAGGCGCUGCACAUUGGAGGAUACUUCAAAAGGGGAGCUUCUCAAGCAUUACCACGUCAAGCACAGUAUUUAUGGAUGUGGCUGAGCUGAACCAAAACCAACUAAUCACCAAUUAAAGAAGAGAGACAGCCCAGUCAUUAAGGACUUGAUGUGGAGAACUUUUGCACAUAGAGGAACAUACGACAUACACAUGAGCAUCAGUGACAUGAAGCACAGGUGGCCUACCUUGUUUAAUGUCUCACAGGAGAGGAAGGUGCCAUAAGGGAGACGAAAGGACACCAAAACUGAUGUCCUUGUUUCCAGCAAGGAAAAGCGUUGUCAGAGGAAGAAUUCAAGCACAGACAAACAUUCUAUUUCAGAUGGAAUCCAACGUGAGCAGACAAGGGACGUUGUCAUCCGAUGCCUUAUUGACUAUCUUGCAGGAGAUGCCAGUGCCCUAUUCCAGGACUUUGAGGAUGCUGAGGAUGGAUCAACCAGCAUUCAAGAAAAGAUGGCAUAGUGAUUGAGGGCAGCACCGUCCACAGCACUCUUGGGGAUCUUAGCCAAGCCUGCUACUAUCUGAUGGGACUGACGUAUGCACGAGACCUGCGGUUCCCCAAGACCCUGUCAUCCAGUUUUAUGGUGUUCCAGAAAGUACUGCUGGAUCUGGAUUUAUGGAAACCUUUCAAAGACUUCAAAAACUGAAGAAUUACCUCCUGUAUGUUUUUGGUGGCAGCUACACAGUGGUCAAGUGGUUAGCGCACAGACCUAACAGCUAGGAGACCAGGGUUCAAUUCCACCCUCGGCCAUCUCUGUGUUGAAUUUGCAUGUUCUCCCCUUGCAUGCGUGAAUGCGGGUACUCCGGUUUCCUCCCACAUUCCAAAAAACAAGCUAUGUUAAUUGGCAACUCCAAAUUGUCCAUAGGUAUGAAUGUAAACAUACACAUUAACUUUCUUUAUUGUCAUUGCACAAUAACACAGCAGUGAAAUUGCCACUGAAAUGUUGUUGCCUGGCUCCUGUAAUGUGAAUGGUUGUUUGUCUAUAUGUGCCCUGUGAUUGGCUGGCCACCAUUCCAGGGUGUACCCCGCCUCUCGCCCGUAGACAGCUGGGAUAGGCUCCAGCACUUGUGAGGACAAAGCGGUAGAAAAUGACUGAAUGUUGUUGGUGGCCACUAUUCAAAACGAUGCUUUCUGAGUGAUUUUUUGUUGGUGAGGUUUACCUGUCCUAAGUAUAGAAGUUUCAUGUGUUAAUGUUUAUUAAAGUGUCUUAAUGCCAUGAGAAUGUCAUUCUUUCUGCAUUUCAGCCAUGUGCUGCAUCAAUUUCUGCCAGAUGCUCAUAUGCUCAUUUUGAUGUUGAUGUACCCUGAGGUUAUAUAGUUAAAAUGGAGAUUUCUCAGACUUUGUCCAAUAAUGAUGGCGAGAUGACACCCCGUGAGGCUUUGAACCAUUUCAAUCAACUGGUUCGACAAAUGAUUCAUUUCUUGAUGUGCUUCAUGUGCACACGAAACCACCUGCUGGCCUUGGAUAGAAUUACAGGCAACUGUAUCUUCAUGUGUGAUGCAUUAAAUGCUGAUCUGUUUUGGCUCUAGGAUAUGAUUAUGUACUACAAAACAUUGUAGAACCA